UCCUUUCUCUUCCCUGGAGCUGGGAACGCAUCAGAGUCGGCGGAGGGAGAGACCAAAACCUUCGAAUCCUUGCUCCAGCUAUUCCGCCCUCCGCCCUCAUCACUGUCGCUUGUCUCGUUGCCUGCGACUGUGGGUAUCCAUCACCACCUUGCAACACCAGGUCCUCCGCCUUCCCUGCCUCUGUUUGCCUUCGUUUUUCGUCGUUCUGUUCUUGCUAUUUGUGUUCGUAUUCGUGUAGUGGGUGGCGUGAGAGAUGAAUUACUGAUCUGAGUUGCUACUCGUGAAUGUUUCGCUACUUGGUAUGGUUUUGUUGGCUCUCUUCCUCUUCCUCUUCCUUGUGUCGUGUCAGAUUUUCCCUCCCCUGUUCUGCUGUAGUUCUGCUGCUUCUUCUUGGAUGUGUGCUGUCGCUAUCCAAGACUCGUUAGCCCUUGGCGCGUCAUGGUACACUUAGCUAGCAGGGUGUUUGUUGAAGGUACUAGUCUCGUGCAAAGGCCAAUGCAUGUGGAAUGGAUGGACGUUGCAGAACAAAGUGAGAGAGAGCGUUUGCAUUUGUCUCUAUUUUUCUUCUCCUUUCCCGUCGCACAAGCUUCAAUCUCCGCUAUUGGUGUGCUUGUCUCCUCACCACCGGCAAUUCAUCCACUCAUUUCCCUCUACUGUCCGUUCAUUUUUGUCAACUGGUGUAGAUGAAUCUCUUCUCUAUUUCUUCAUUGUUUCAUGGUCGACAGAGAUAGUUGAAUAACUGGAUUGAAGCUUCUCCUCCCUUCUUUGGUAUGGUCUGUGAGCUAUGGUGUGGCAGCUACCACUAUGCUUUGGUUGACGUAAGACAUUUGUUCUUCCUUCUUCCUUUAAUAACCGAAGAUGUGCCUUGUCAAUGUUUCUACCAUAGAGUUUGUUAGGUGUUGUUUGGAAUAAUGUUAAAUACUAUUUUAUUAUAUGCUGAGCUGAAAUUUGGUGAAGAAAAUUAGAUGUUGGAAAUUCUUGAUUUUGCUUGAAUGUUUGUCAUAUAAUGUAGUUAAUGGUGAAUGUUCUUAUAUA